rnacentral:rRNA from 1 species
GGACUAUCGGUGCUUUACCGAUGGAAGUUUGAGGCAAUAACAGGUCUGUGAAUGCCCUUAGAUGUUCUGGGCCGCACGCGCGCUGCACUGAUGAAUGAUUCCAACAGAGUUCAUUUCCUUUAUCGGAAGAUAUGGGUAAUCUUUUGAAACUUCAUCGAGCUGGGGAUAGAGCAUUGCAAUUAUUGCUCUUAAACGAGGAAUCCCUAGUAAGCACAAGUCAUUAGCUUGUGCUGAUUACGUCCCUGCCCUUUGUACACACCGCCCGUCGCUGCUACCGAUUGAAUGGCUUAGUGAGGCCUUCGGAUCGAUUUCUGGAAGCUGUAAAAGGCAUCUAAUUGUUGAGAAGUUGGUCAAACUUGGUCAUUUAGAGGAAGUAAAAGUCGUAACAAGGUUUCCGUAGGUGAACCUGCGGAAGGAUCAUUA